CGGCGACGGGUGAGUAAUGCCUAGGAAUCUGCCUAGUGUGGGGGAUAACGUUCGGAAACGGACGCUAAUACCGCAUACGUCCUACGGGAGAAAGCGGGGGACCUUCGGGCCUCGCGCCAUUAGAUGAGCCUAGGUCGGAUUAGCUAGUUGGUGAGAUAAUGGCUCACCAAGGCUACGAUCCGUAACUGGUCUGAGAGGAUGAUCAGUCACACUGGAACUGAGACACGGUCCAG
rnacentral:rRNA from 1 species